rnacentral:lncRNA from 1 species
AACGACAAUGCUUGAUCUUCAUUCUUGCUAGAUUAGACACUCUAUUGUCUAGCUAUAGCUAGGUGGGAGGUCAUGAGUGUUGUGAUUAUGAUUUGGGAGCAUGAAAAGUUUGAAGGAAAAAAAUAGACUCUUUGUGUUUAAGUGAAUAGUCUUAUUGGGAUAAGUAGAUAAACAUCUAGCUCAAGUUUAUGAAAAUUCUUGGCAAAAAAAAAACGAAAAAAAGAAAGAAAAAGGGGGCUAGUAAAGUUGUUAGGAGCUAAGAAAUGUUUUUAAAUUGUGAAAAAAAAUUCCCUUGUAGAUUUCAAAGAGAAAGAGUUUUAUGUGAAAAAUGUUCUUAGGAUCUUUUGGUGAGAGAUGUGAGUUGGGUUUGACAUUGAGAAAUGAUUGUGUAACUUGUAUGUUUGGGAAAUGGGUAUAACAAUGGAGAUUGAGCGUUGUAUGCAUGAGUUGAUCCCUUUCUUAGAUAUAUUAUGUGCAAUGUCAAGGUUACUUGUCUUGAGAGUAAACCACCUUAAAGAUCAUGUAUCUUGAACCUCUUGACUCACUUGAAUAAAAAGCCUUCCCUUACCCAACCAAAUGAUUUGGACCAAUUGAUCAUUUGCAAGAAUUCACCUGAUGUUUAUUGCUUAAUGAAUGUGAGAGUUGGUUGAUUUGAAUGUAUGGAUGCUUGAUGAUGAUUGUAAGGGCAAAAGGAGUUGAGAUAGGCCUAGAGAAGCUAGAGUAUAAUAAGAGAGUGUGCUCAUGUUGGAUUUAGAUGUUGAAUUGAGUGCUAGAUGUGUUUCUUUUGACUAUGAGCUCCCACCUUCAAACCUCUCUCCCUAUGAGUUCUAGAAAGCUCAUUUGUGGACAAGUAAAAGAACAAGUUUGGGGGAGUUGAUAUCUUGCAUAUUUCCAUUGUGUUAUUCAUUCAUCCAUGUGCAUUUUGAUCAUAUAGACUAGGAUUUAGCCAUGUUUAGGGUGCAUUUUGCACAUGAGUCUUUAUUAGGUAUUGAAGUACCACAUGGAGUUCUUGGAGACAUUUGG